rnacentral:lncRNA from 1 species
GGUCUUGAACUCCUGACCUCAAAGGAUCCACUCGCUUCAGCCUCCCAAAGUGCUGGUAUUACAGGCGUGAGCCACUGUGCUUGGCCUUAGUUACCUUUCUUCUGUUGCCUGGAAAUUAUCUCCAAGGAGUUAGCUGGGGUAAUCAUCAGGUUUAUCUUAUUUAUUUCUUGUCUCACAGGGAUCAUUGAUCAUUGCCUGUGAAGAAAUAAUCUUUGUGGACAAGGUGCCUUUUUCCAUAAUUUUUUCUUAUAACCAGCCCUUCUCAUCCAAAGGCCACAAUGAAGUCGAAGAAACCUAUAGAUGACAGCUUUCACAAUCCUUCUCUUGCCUUUUCCUGUACUGACGUAUGUUAGAGAUCUGGCUGGCAGCUUCAAGACACUUGGAAGCAAGAGGGCCACUCUAUUAAGGAUCGCUGAAGUAUGCCCACAUGUCAGGUUUCUCUCAGAUGUGGUAUCAAAACAUCAUUAUGGGCCGGGCACGGUGGCUUACGCCUGUAAUCCCAGCACUUUGGGAGGCUGAGGCAGGCAUAUGAAGAGGUCAAGAGAUCGAGAUCAUCCCGGCCAACAUGGUGAAACCCCAUCUCUACUAAAAAUACAAACAUUAGCUAGAAAUAACAAGAAAGUUAGAAAGUCUUCUGCCUCCCAUCAGAAAAUGAGCUCAAGUGUUGUAUCCAUUGAAAAUGACAUCUGAUGCUAAUCAUCUCUGAGUGAACCCUACAUCUUACAGUAAAUUGCAUAUUGCAAUAAAAAGUGAUCUCUCAUGGUUCUUG